rnacentral:rRNA from 1 species
UAAGCAUAUCAAUAAGCGGAGGAAAAGAAACCAACAGGGAUUACCCUAGUAACGGCGAGUGAAGCGGUAAAAGCUCAGAUUUGAAAUCUCUUUAAUUAAUUAAAGCGAAUUGUAAUCUGUAGAAGGGUGAAUGGCUAAUGCUCUGGUUUAAAUUUUCUGGAAUGAAAUAUCAUAGAGGGUGAGAAUCCCGUGAGCACCAGCAGUCUACGCCAAUUAAUUCCCCUUUCGACGAGUCGAUUAGUUUGAGAAUGCUGAUCUAAAUGGGUGGUAAAUUUCAUCUAAAGCUAAAUAUCUGCCAGAGACCGAUAGCGAACAAGUAGAGUGAUCGAAAGAUGAAAAGCACUUUGAAAAGAGAGUUAAAAAGUACGUGAAAUUGUUGAAAGGGAAGCGCUUGCAAUUAGACUUGAUAAUUUAAUUCGAUCAAUCUACGGAUUCGAUUUAUUUUUUUAUUAUCAGGCCAGCAUCAGUUUGGCGAAAUUAAUAAAAGUAAUCGGAAUGUAGUAAUUAUUUCGAUAAUUAUGUUAUAGCCUUUUACAGCAUUAAUUUAUGCUAGACUGAGGUCUGCUCUUUUGAAAGGAUGCUGGCAUAAUGAUUGUAAGCGACCCGUCUUGAA